UAUCCGGAAUUAUUGGGCGUAAAGGGCUCGUAGGCGGUUCGUCGCGUCCGGUGUGAAAGUCCAUCGCUUAACGGUGGAUCCGCGCCGGGUACGGGCGGGCUUGAGUGCGGUAGGGGAGACUGGAAUUCCCGGUGUAACGGUGGAAUGUGUAGAUAUCGGGAAGAACACCAAUGGCGAAGGCAGGUCUCUGGGCCGUUACUGACGCUGAGGAGCGAAAGCGUGGGGAGCGAACAGGAUUAGAUACCCUGCUAGUCCACGCCGUAAACGGUGGAUGCUGGAUGUGGGGCCCGUUCCACGGGUUCCGUGUCCGAGCUAACGCUUUAAGCAUCC
rnacentral:rRNA from 1 species